rnacentral:rRNA from 1 species
UUCCCUUCGGGGACAUUGGUGACAGGUGGUGCAUGGUUGUCGUCAGCUCGUGUCGUGAGAUGUUGGGUUAAGUCCCGCAACGAGCGCAACCCUUGUCUUUAGUUGCCAUCAUUAAGUUGGGCACUCUAGAGAGACUGCCAGGGAUAACCUGGAGGAAGGUGGGGAUGACGUCAAAUCAUCAUGCCCCUUAUGCUUAGGGCUACACACGUGCUACAAUGGGUAGUACAGAGGGUUGCCAAGCCGUAAGGUGGAGCUAAUCCCUUAAAGCUACUCUCAGUUCGGAUUGUAGGCUGAAACUCGCCUACAUGAAGCUGGAGUUACUAGUAAUCGCAGAUCAGAAUGCUGCGGUGAAUGCGUUCCCGGGUCUUGUACACACCGCCCGUCACACCACGGGAGUUGGAGACGCCCGAAGCCGAUUAUCUAACCUUGUGGAAGAAGUCGUCGAAGGUGGAAUCAAUAACUGGGGUGAAGUCGUAACAAGGUAGCCGUAUCGGAAGGUGCGGCUGGAUCACCUCCUUUCUAAGGA